rnacentral:rRNA from 1 species
AACGAACGCUGGCGGCAUGCCUAACACAUGCAAGUCGAACGAGACCUUCGGGUCUAGUGGCGCACGGGUGCGUAACGCGUGGGAACCUGCCCUUAGGUUCGGAAUAACUCCCCGAAAGGGGUGCUAAUACCGGAUAAUGUCUUCGGACCAAAGAUUUAUCGCCUUUGGAUGGGCCCGCGUUGGAUUAGCUAGUUGGUAGGGUAAAAGCCUACCAAGGCGACGAUCCAUAGCUGGUCUGAGAGGAUGAUCAGCCACACUGGGACUGAGACACGACCCAGACUCCUACGGGAGGCAGCAGUGGGGAAUAUUGGACAAUGGGCGAAAGCCUGAUCCAGCAAUGCCGCGUGAGUGAUGAAGGCCUUAGGGUUGUAAAGCUCUUUUAGCUGGGAUGAUAAUGACAGUACCGGGAGAAUAAGCUCCGGCUAACUCCGUG